GCUUUCGAUGGUAGUGUAUUGGACUACCAUGGCUUUCACGGGUAACAGGGAAUUAGGGUUCGAUUCUGGAGAAGGAGCCUGAGAAACGGCUACUACAUCUACGGAAGGCAGCAGGCGCGUAAAUUACCCAAUCCUGACUCAGGGAGGUGGUGACAAGAUAUAACAACGAGACUUUAAAUCUCGAUUGUAGUGAGGGUUUUCUAAAUAGAACCUAUAGUACGAUUAGAGGGCAAGUCUGGUGCCAGCAGCCGCGGUAAUUCCAGCUCUAAUAGCGUAUAUUAAAGUUGCUGCAGUUAAAAAGCUCGUAGUUGGAUUUCAAGGUAUGUAUUAUCUUUUUGAUAAUACAGCCUACUAGUCAUUGACUGUUACUGUGAGAAAAUUAGAGUGUUUAAAGCAGGCUUUUGCAAGAAUACAUUAGCAUGGAAUAACGAAUGUAUUUAGAAUCGUGGUUUAAUUCUAAAUUACGAUUAAUAGAGACAGUUGGGGGCAUUAGUAUUUAAUUGUCAGAGGUGAAAUUCUUGGAUUUGUUAAAGACUAACGUAUGCGAAAGCAUUUGCCAAGGAUGUUUUCAUUAAUCAAGGACGAAAGAUAGGGGAUCAAAGACAAUCAGAUACUGUCGUAGUCCUAUCUAUAAACUAUGCCAACUAGGGAUUGGAAAUGGAUAUAUACCAUUUCAGUACCUUAUGAGAAAUCAAAAGUCUUUGGGUUCUGGGGGGAGUAUGGUCGCAAGACUGAAACUUAAAGAAAUUGACGGAAGGGCACCACCAGGAGUGGAGCCUGCGGCUUAAUUUGACUCAACACGGGGAAACUUACCAGGUCAAGACGUAGUAAGGAUUGACAGAUUGAUAGCUCUUUCUUGAUUCCAUGGGUGGUGGUGCAUGGCCGUUCUUAGUUGGUGGAGUGAUUUGUCUGGUUAAUUCCGAUAACGAACGAGACCUUAACCUGCUAACUAGAUUCAAUUAUAAUAUAAUUGAUAUCUUCUUAGAGGGACUAUGUAAUACAAAUACAUGGAAGUUUGAGGCAAUAACAGGUCAGUGAUGCCCUUAUAUGUCCUGGGCUGCACGCGUGCUACACUGAUACAUACAACAAGUGCCUAAUCAGACAUGGUAUGGCAAUCUCUAAUAUGCAUCGUGAUAGGGAUAGAUCUUUGCAAUUAUAGAUCUUGAACGAGGAAUUCCUAGUAAGUGCAAGUCAUCAUCUUGCAUUGAUUAUGUCCCUGCCCUUUGUACACACCGCCCGUCGCUCCUACCGAUACCGGGUGAUCCGGUGAACCUUUUGGACUCAUUUGGGAAAGAUAAGUAAACCAUAUCACCUAGAGGAAGGAGAAGUCGUAACAAGGUUUCCGUAGGUGAACCUGCAGAAGGAUCA
rnacentral:rRNA from 1 species